CCCCGGAGCACGUCCCCUCCCCGCCGGGCGCCGGGCUCCGAGGGUGCCUCCGCCGCCUGCCCGCCGGCUCUGCCCUGGUGCGCGCGUGUGGGAGGGUGUGUGUUUGUGCCGUGGCCGCCGCCGCCGCCGCCGCCUGUCGCUGAGGCUGGCAUCGCCGAGCCCCCGCGCGGGGGGCUGCCGCCCGAGCUCCUGAUUGACAGGCCGCCUCGCCAAUGCCUGGAGGGAGAAAGGAGGGAAGGAGGAAAAUCGUGGGAGAGAAAGGAAGCCAUAGGAGCCCACCCUGCAUUGUGAGGUAAUUAACAAAAACACCUUUCAGCAGAGCUAGCCUUAAGAGACUGUGAAGCAAUGAAAUGUGCCUGUGGUGCCCUCAAAGUCCUCUUUCAGUCAUUUCUAGUGCCUGGUCCCUCCCAUCCAGCCCCUUCCCCCUUUCUUAACUGCAUCAUUACUCUUGUUCCUAUUCCCGACAGGGCAGACACCUCAUUAAG
rnacentral:lncRNA from 1 species